UGGCUCAGGAUGAACGCUAGCUACAGGCUUAACACAUGCAAGUCGAGGGGCAGCAUGGUCUUAGCUUGCUAAGGCCGAUGGCGACCGGCGCACGGGUGAGUAACACGUAUCCAACCUGCCGUCUACUCUUGGACAGCCUUCUGAAAGGAAGAUUAAUACAAGAUGGCAUCAUGAGUCCGCAUGUUCACAUGAUUAAAGGUAUUCCGGUAGACGAUGGGGAUGCGUUCCAUUAGAUAGUAGGCGGGGUAACGGCCCACCUAGUCUUCGAUGGAUAGGGGUUCUGAGAGGAAGGUCCCCCACAUUGGAACUGAGACACGGUCCAAACUCCUACGGGAGGCAGCAGUGAGGAAUAUUGGUCAAUGGGCGAGAGCCUGAACCAGCCAAGUAGCGUGAAGGAUGACUGCCCUAUGGGUUGUAAACUUCUUUUAUAAAGGAAUAAAGUCGGGUAUGCAUACCCGUUUGCAUGUACUUUAUGAAUAAGGAUCGGCUAACUCCGUGCCAGCAGCCGCGGUAAUACGGAGGAUCCGAGCGUUAUCCGGAUUUAUUGGGUUUAAAGGGAGCGUAGAUGGAUGUUUAAGUCAGUUGUGAAAGUUUGCGGCUCAACCGUAAAAUUGCAGUUGAUACUGGAUAUCUUGAGUGCAGUUGAGGCAGGCGGAAUUCGUGGUGUAGCGGUGAAAUGCUUAGAUAUCACGAAGAACUCCGAUUGCGAAGGCAGCCUGCUAAGCUGCAACUGACAUUGAGGCUCGAAAGUGUGGGUAUCAAACAGGAUUAGAUACCCUGGUAGUCCACACGGUAAACGAUGAAUACUCGCUGUUUGCGAUAUACAGCAAGCGGCCAAGCGAAAGCGUUAAGUAUUCCACCUGGGGAGUACGCCGGCAACGGUGAAACUCAAAGGAAUUGACGGGGGCCCGCACAAGCGGAGGAACAUGUGGUUUAAUUCGAUGAUACGCGAGGAACCUUACCCGGGCUUAAAUUGCAGAUGAAUUACGGUGAAAGCCGUAAGCCGCAAGGCAUCUGUGAAGGUGCUGCAUGGUUGUCGUCAGCUCGUGCCGUGAGGUGUCGGCUUAAGUGCCAUAACGAGCGCAACCCUUGUUGUCAGUUACUAACAGGUUCCGCUGAGGACUCUGACAAGACUGCCAUCGUAAGAUGUGAGGAAGGUGGGGAUGACGUCAAAUUAGCACGGCCCUUACGUCCGGGGCUACACACGUGUUACAAUGGGGGGUACAGAGGGCCGCUACCACGCGAGUGGAUGCCAAUCCCAAAAACCUCUCUCAGUUCGGACUGGAGUCUGCAACCCGACUCCACGAAGCUGGAUUCGCUAGUAAUCGCGCAUCAGCCACGGCGCGGUGAAUACGUUCCCGGGCCUUGUACACACCGCCCGUCAAGUCAUGGGAGCCGGGGGUACCUGAAGUGCGUAACCGCGAGGAGCGCCCUAGGGUAA
rnacentral:rRNA from 1 species